CUUGGUCAUUUAGAGGAAGUAAAAGUCGUAACAAGGUUUCCGUAGGUGAACCUGCGGAAGGAUCAUUAAAAAUGAAGCCGGGAAACCGGUCCUUCAAACCCUUGAUUAUUAUUCACUUGUUGCUUUGGUGGGCCGCGAGAGCUUAUGCUUGAGCACCGGCUUUCGGGCUGGAGAGUGCCUGCCAGAGGACCCAACUCUGUAUUUUAGUGUCGUCUGAGUACUAUAAAAUAGUUAAAACUUUCAACAACGGAUCUCUUGGUUCUGGCAUCGAUGAAGAACGCAGCGAAAUGCGAUAAGUAAUGUGAAUUGCAGAAUUUAGUGAAUCAUCGAAUCUUUGAACGCAUAUUGCACUCUUCGGUAUUCCUUAGAGUAUGUCUGUUUCAGUAUCAUAAAGUAAUAUCAAGUCUUAAGGCUUGGAAAUGGGCUUCGUAGGUUGAUUUUUCUUUCUACUAGCCUGAAAUUCAUUCGUGGCCGCAUCUUGCUAAAGAUAGAGGCGUCAUAGUUGACCUUUUCGUCAUCUUUCGCUGACUACUUUGAAAGUGCAUUAGACUACGUUAACUUUUCAUCCACUUGAUCUGAAAUCAGAUAAGACUACCCGCUGAACUUAAGCAUAUCAAUAAGCGGAGGA
rnacentral:rRNA from 1 species